rnacentral:lncRNA from 1 species
AAACCGCGGCGCAGAUCCAAGUCGCCGGACCCGGUGUGGAGAGCGGUGCUGAGGCUACGCGGGCUGGAGACUCAGGAGUCUCACUCUGUCUCCCAGGCUGAGUGCAGUGACACAAUCACAGCUCACUGCAGCCUCCACCUCCUGGGUUCAGGUGAUCUGCCCACCUCAGCCUUCCAAGUAGCUGGGACUACAGACAUGCGCCAGCACGCCUGGGCUUGAGCAAUUCAGUUUCCCUGCCUGAGUGUUGGUGACCUGUGCUGUGAAAUAGAGAGAGACACCUACGACCUGCUGUCAGAGCCCAUCAAGGUUAUCAAUACUCUGGCUGACCAUCAUCAUCGUGGGACUGACUUUGGUGGAAGUCCUUGGUUACGUAUCAUUAUUGCAUUUCCGAGAAGUUAUAAAGUUGUCCUUACCCUCUGGACAGUUUACCUUUGGUUGUCUUUCCUGAAGACUAUCUUCCAGUCUGAAAAUGGACAUGAUGUAUCCACAGAUGUACAGCAGAGAGCCAGGAGGUCCAACCGCCGUAGACAGGAAGGAAAUAAAAUUGGCCUGAAAGACGUCAUUACUCUACGGA